CCCUGCUAUUCUAAAAACAAAUAAUAUUUCAAAGAUUAAAAACAAAAUAAAUUUGACGGUAUUAACCUUUACAAAGGAAUUUGUUUCUAAAUCGAAAACACACGAUAAACCUUACUUAAUCCAUAUUUGUAUACCACCGUAAAACAGAAAUUAUUUAAAAUUAAUUUCAUAAAAAAUAAUCUUAUUAUAUCAGGUCAAGGUGCAAUUUAAUUAAGAUGAAAUGAAUUACAAUAUACAUAAACAUAUAAGAAAUGAAAUUUUCUUAAAAAAAAGAAUUUGUCAGUAAAAUUUUAUCAUAAUGUAAAUUUGAAAAAAUACAUUAAUAUGUACAUAUCGCCCG
rnacentral:rRNA from 1 species